rnacentral:miRNA from 1 species
CCCCAGAUGUUGCUGAACUACAACUCCCAUGAUCCCCUGGCUAUCUGUUUCAUUGAAAGAAUCAUGGGAGUUGUAGUUCAGCAACAUCUGGGG